rnacentral:rRNA from 1 species
AGAGUUUGAUCCUGGCUCAGAUUGAACGCUGGCGGCAGGCCUAACACAUGCAAGUCGAGCGGAUGAAGGGAGCUUGCUCCUGGAUUCAGCGGCGGACGGGUGAGUAAUGCCUAGGAAUCUGCCUGGUAGUGGGGGAUAACGUCCGGAAACGGGCGCUAAUACCGCAUACGUCCUGAGGGAGAAAGUGGGGGAUCUUCGGGCCUCACGCUAUCAGAUGAGCCCAGGUCGGAUUAGCUAGUUGGUGGGGUAAAGGCCUACCAAGGCGACGAUCCGUAACUGGUCUGAGAGGAUGAUCAGUCACACUGGAACUGGGACACGGUCCAGACUCCUACGGGAGGCAGCAGUGGGGAAUAUUGGACAAUGGGCGAAAGCCUGAUCCAGCCAUGCCGCGUGUGUGAAGAAGGUCUUCGGAUUGUAAAGCACUUUAAGUUGGGAGGAAGGGCAGUAAGUUAAUACCUUGCUGUUUUGACGUUACCAACAGAAUAAGCACCGGCUAACUUCGUGCCAGCAGCCGCGGUAAUACGAAGGGUGCAAGCGUUAAUCGGAAUUACUGGGCGUAAAGCGCGCGUAGGUGGUUCAGCAAGUUGGAUGUGAAAUCCCCGGGCUCAACCUGGGAACUGCAUCCAAAACUACUGAGCUAGAGUACGGUAGAGGGUGGUGGAAUUUCCUGUGUAGCGGUGAAAUGCGUAGAUAUAGGAAGGAACACCAGUGGCGAAGGCGACCACCUGGACUGAUACUGACACUGA